UGUGGGAGCGAGCCUGCUCGCGAUGAGGUCGUCACAUCCAGUGAAGAUGUUGGCUUUGAGACCGCCAUCGCGAGCAGGCUCGCUCCCACA
rnacentral:misc_RNA from 1 species